rnacentral:tRNA from 1 species
AUUCCUGUAGCUUACUACCUAAAGCAUAACACUGAAAAUGUUACGAUGAGAAACACCAUCUCCAAGAAUA